rnacentral:rRNA from 1 species
UACGUAGGGGGCAAGCGUUGUCCGGAUUUAUUGGGCGUAAAGAGCGUGUAGGCGGCCAAACAGGUCAGCUGUGAAAACUCGAGGCUCAACCUCGAGACGUCGGUUGAAACCGUUUGGCUAGAGUCCGGAAGAGGAGAGUGGAAUUCCCGGUGUAGCGGUGAAAUGCGCAGAUAUCGGGAGGAACACCUGUGGCGAAAGCGGCUCACUGGACCAUAACUGACGCUGAUGCACGAAAGCUGGGGGAGCAAACAGG